CUACGUGCCAGCAGCCGCGGUAAUACGUAGGUCCCGAGCGUUGUCCGGAUUUAUUGGGCGUAAAGCGAGCGCAGGCGGUUUGAUAAGUCUGAAGUUAAAGGCUGUGGCUCAACCAUAGUUUGCUUUGGAAACUGUCAAACUUGAGUGCAGAAGGGGAGAGUGGAAUUCCAUGUGUAGCGGUGAAAUGCGUAGAUAUAUGGAGGAACACCGGUGGCGAAAGCGGCUCUCUGGUCUGUAACUGACGCUGAGGCUCGAAAGCGUGGGGAGCGAACAGGAUUAGAUACCCUGGUAGUCCACGCCGUAAACGAUGAGUGCUAGGUGUUGGAUCCUUUCCGGGAUUCAGUGCCGCAACUAACGCAUUAAGCACUCCGCCUGGGGAGUACGACCGCAAGGUUGAAACUCAAAGGAAUUGACGGGGGCCCGCACAAGCGGUGGAGCAUGUGGUUUAAUUCGAUGCAACGCGAAGAACCUUACCUACUCUUGACAUCCAUGGAAUCUUGUAGAGAUACGAGAGUGC
rnacentral:rRNA from 1 species